CCUACGGGUGGCAGCAGUGGGGGAUAUUGCACAAUGGGGGAAACCCUGAUGCAGCGACGCCGCGUGGGUGAAGAAGCGCCUCGGCGCGUAAAGCCCUGUCAGCAGGGAAGAAAAUGACGGUACCUGAAGAAUAAGCUCCGGCUAACUACGUGCCAGCAGCCGCGGUACUACGGAGGGGGCAAGCGUUAUCCGGAUUUACUGGGCGUAAAGGGGGCGCAGACGGGGUUGCAAGCCAGGAGUGAAGGCCCGGGGCCCAACCGCGGGACUGCAAUUGGAACUGGGUGGCUAGAGUGCAGGAGGGGCAGGCGGAAUUCGUGGUGUAGCGGUGAAAUGCGUAGAUAUCAGGAAGAACACCGAUGGCGAAGGCAGCCUGCUAAACUGCAACUGACAUUGAGGCCCGAAAGCGUGGGGAGCAAACAGGAUUAGAUACCCCGGUAGUC
rnacentral:rRNA from 1 species